CAACCACAUCAUGUUGAAACACCAGUUCCUGUAUGAUCACCAAAGUUAAGCAAUGUUGAGCCUAGUCAGUACCUCGAUGGGUGACUGCUUAGGAAUAACAGGUGGUGUAA